UAGGGAAUCUUCGGCAAUGGGGGCAACCCUGACCGAGCAACGCCGCGUGAGUGAAGAAGGUUUUCGGAUCGUAAAGCUCUGUUGUAAGUCAAGAACGGGUGUGAGAGUGGAAAGUUCACACUGUGACGGUAGCUUACCAGAAAGGGACGGCUAACUACGUGCCAGCAGCCGCGGUAAUACGUAGGUCCCGAGCGUUGUCCGGAUUUAUUGGGCGUAAAGCGAGCGCAGGCGGUUUGAUAAGUCUGAAGUUAAAGGCUGUGGCUCAACCAUAGUUCGCUUUGGAAACUGUCAAACUUGAGUGCAGAAGGGGAGAGUGGAAUUCCAUGUGUAGCGGUGAAAUGCGUAGAUAUAUGGAGGAACACCGGUGGCGAAAGCGGCUCUCUGGUCUGUAACUGACGCUGAGGCUCGAAAGCGUGGGGAGCGAACAGGAUUAGAUACCCUGGUAGUCCACGCCGUAAACGAUGAGUGCUAGGUGUUGGAUCCUUUCCGGGAUUCAGUGCCGCAGCUAACGCAUUAAGCACUCCGCCUGGGGAGUACGACCGCAAGGUUGAAACUCUAAAGUGAAUUGAC
rnacentral:rRNA from 1 species